GGCUUAGAGUUUGAUCAUGGCUCAGGAUGAACGCUGGCGGCGUGCCUAACACAUGCAAGUCGAGCGAAGCACUUUGCUUUGAAUCUUUCAGGAGGACGAGUGAUUUGACUGAGCGGCGGACGGGUGAGUAACGCGUGGGCAACCUGCCUCACACAGGGGGAUAACAGUUAGAAAUGACUGCUAAUACCGCAUAAGGCCACAGCACCGCAUGGUGCAGGGGUAAAAACUCCGGUGGUGUGAGAUGGGCCCGCGUCUGAUUAGGUAGUUGGUGAGGUAACGGCUCACCAAGCCGACGAUCAGUAGCCGACCUGAGAGGGUGACCGGCCACAUUGGGACUGAGACACGGCCCAAACUCCUACGGGAGGCAGCAGUGGGGAAUAUUGCACAAUGGGGGAAACCCUGAUGCAGCGACGCCGCGUGAGCGAUGAAGUAUUUCGGUAUGUAAAGCUCUAUCAGCAGGGAAGAAACUGACGGUACCUGACUAAGAAGCACCGGCUAAAUACGUGCCAGCAGCCGCGGUAAUACGUAUGGUGCAAGCGUUAUCCGGAUUUACUGGGUGUAAAGGGAGCGUAGACGGACUUGCAAGUCUGAAGUGAAAGCCCGGGGCUCAACCCCGGGACUGCUUUGGAAACUGUAGGUCUAGAGUGCUGGAGAGGUAAGUG
rnacentral:rRNA from 1 species